rnacentral:rRNA from 1 species
GACGAACGCUGGCGGCGUGCUUAACACAUGCAAGUCGAACGGAAAGGCCCUGCUUGCAGGGUACUCGAGUGGCGAACGGGUGAGUAACACGUGGGUGAUCUGCCCUGCACUUCGGGAUAAGCCUGGUAAACUGGGUCUAAUACCGGAUAGGAGCCAUUUUUAGUGUGAUGGUUGGAAAGUUUUUUCGGUUUAGGAUGAGCUCGCGGCCUAUCAGCUUGUUGGUGGGGUAAUGGCCUACCAAGGCGGCGACGGGUGGCCGGCCUGAGAGGGUGGACGGCGACACUGGGACUGAGAUACGGCCCAGGCUCCGACGGGAGGGAGAAGGGGGGAAGAUUGCAGGAGGGGCGCCAGCCGGAUGCAGCGACGUCGCGGGGGGGAUGACGGUCUUCGGGUUGAAAACGCAUUUCGCUAGGGACGAAGCUUUUUGUGACGGUACCUAGAUAAGAAGCACCGGCUAACUACGUG